GGUGGUGACGCGGAGGGACAUUACCGAGUUUACAACUCCCAAACCCAAUGUGAACGUUACCAAACUGUUGCCUCGGCGGGGUCACGCCCCGGGUGCGUAAAAGCCCCGGAACCAGGCGCCCGCCGGAGGGACCAACCAAACUCUUUUCUGUAGCCUUCGGGCGUUAUUUCUUACAGCUCUGAGCAAAAAUUCAAAAUGAAUCAAAACUUUCAACAACGGAUCUCUUGGUUCUGGCAUCGAUGAAGAACGCAGCGAAAUGCGAUAAGUAAUGUGAAUUGCAGAAUUCAGUGAAUCAUCGAAUCUUUGAACGCACAUUGCGCCCGCCAGUAUUCUGGCGGGCAUGCCUGUCCGAGCGUCAUUUCAACCCUCGAACCCCCUAGGGGGUCCGGCGUUGGGGAUCGGGAACCCCUAAGACGGGAUCCCGGCCCCGAAAUACAGUGGCGGUCUCGCCGCAGCCUCUCCUGCGCAGUAGUUUGCACAACUCGCACCGGGAGCGCGGCGCGUCCACGUCCGUAAAACACCCAACUUCUGAAAUGUUGACCUCGGAUCAGGUAGGAAUACCCCGCUGAACUUAAGCAUACGG
rnacentral:rRNA from 1 species